ensembl:snRNA U6 U6 spliceosomal RNA
UUGCUUUGGCACCACAUACACUAACACUGGAACAAUACAGAGGAGAUUAGCAUGGCCCCUGCACAAAGAUGACACACAAAUUCAUGAAGCAUUCCAUAAUUAA